UACGGAGGGUGCAAGCGUUGUUCGGAAUCAUUGGGCGUAAAGCGCGUGUAGGCGGCUAGGCAAGUCGGUUGUGAAAGCCCGGGGCCCAACCCCGGAACUGCAUCUGAAACUGCCUGGCUAGAGUCCCGGAGAGGAAGGCAGAAUUCCCGGUGUAGGGGUGAAAUCCGUAGAUAUCGGGAGGAACACCGAUGGCGAAGGCAGGUCACUGGGCCGCAACUGACGCUGAGGAGCGAAAGCAUGGGGAGCGAACAGG
rnacentral:rRNA from 1 species